GCAGAUGAAGAGGCUUGCCACUUAAUGUGUACAGAUGUGAUCAUCAGUGCUCGCCGACAAUGAAAUAUACAAGUGCACACACGGUGAUCUGGUGAACAAGAGGUGGGAUUUAAUCAUCUUCUGCUGACACUUUGUGCAAAACACCAUUAACCCCCAGCGAACCCCCUGUUUUCCUGGCUCCCCCCAGCCCUCAAAGUCUCAGCCCCUCCUGUCAAGGAAAAAAGUGGAAGAAGAAUGUGCUUUUGUUUACUCAGGCAAGCUGAAGGUUGGAUCCAGCCAGGCAAGCACUUUCUUCAUUUCCUGAGAGUAAACUACCCACUUUAAUUACACAUGCUUCGGAAAUCUUUGUAAACGGAUUGCCAUCGGGAACCACAUCUUCUUGGUCCGAUUAUCUUUUGCCUGUCCCUUGUUUCUGCAACUUAUCAUAGAUAGGAUGAGAGAAUUUAACUCAAUUCAUUCCACAUACACUAACACUUAAAAGAAAAUUUAAAAAGAAAAGGUACAUUAUCUUUUCCUGGGCUCUUAUAUUAUGAGGGGAAUGGUAAGGGGUAUGUGUGACAGAAUGGGGAAGGGGGCUUUCAAGGGGGUAAUCAGAUAUAUGCUACUUACCUUUGCUCAAAAGAGAUCUUGCACAAGAAAACAGUGUAUGUGUGUGCCUGUUCCUAAAUAUGUCUUCAAGUUUUCAGCCGUCUCUUUCUGCAAAACACACCUCACAGAUAACUUUUGUAUAGGGAUGUUCAGGAGUGGUUUCUGUAGUGUCCCAGAGAUGCUUCUGUUGGGGUCGCAGUCUUUUUUUUUUCUAAAGGUAUCAGACAGGUUGUUGCUGUGAGUAGGUGAAAGCCAGCACCCCCUCUAGAAGUCCAGCUAUAGUCAAAGGUGUCAGUCAAGGGAGGAAUGAGGUUGACCAGGCCCCCUGCUCACACAGUCCCACCAUCCCGCCUGGAGACGCAGCCACACAAAUGAAGGAGCCUCUCGCUUCCGCCUUCCUUGGUUUUCUGACGUGCUUUUCUCUCUCUUACUUUCUUCCCGAACUGCAUACAAACCCUGAGUGGACCAGAGCGGCUCCUCCAGUAUUUAAACACCUCGCCAGGUCCCUAGUUAGCAGCUUCCUUCAGCUCAUCCAAGAAGCUGACAAGCACUGUUAAAGGAGGCUGUACAUGCUGCUCUAAUGGACCUCAUUAAGUUCUACUUACAGAUGUUCUCUUAACAUAAUUGAUCUGCGAUGAAAACUUUAAGGAACAAUGAAGGAGAGAGGUGCCGCUCUGAACCGGACUAAGGUGCAGAACUGGAGUGAGCAGCCCCCCCUCCCCCCACUGAACUUGAAUGCUGGGAUGAAUAAAAGCUUAAGACCACAAGGCAAACAGAGUUUUAGAUAACUCCUGUCUCAAGUGGAUCACUCUUGUCUCUCCUACAGCCCUUCCCUCUGUCUCCUUGGGUAGUGUUCCCCGCAGU